ensembl:snRNA U7 U7 small nuclear RNA
AAAUGUGCUCUUUUAGUAUUUCUCCAGUUGGUUUCCUCAAAGCGAAAACCCCC